GUCGUCAAAGACCAAGGUGUUUAGAUAGAGAGGUGUCGUCAAAAACCAAGGUGUUUAGAUAGAGAGGUGUCGUCAAAGACCAAGGUGUUUAGAUAGAGAGGUGUCGUCAAAAACCAAGGUGUUUAAAAUAGAGAGAUGGCGUCAAAAACCAAGGUGUUUAGAUAGAGAGAUGGCGUCAAAAACCAAGGUGUUUAGAUAGAGAGGUGUCGUCAAAGACCAAGGUGUUUAGAUAGAGAGGUGUCGUCAAAGACCAAGGUGUUUAGAUAGAGAGGUGUCGUCAAAAACCAAGGUGUUUAAAAUAGAGAGAUGGCGUCAAAAACCAAGGUGUUUAGAUAGAGAGAUGGCGUCAAAAACCAAGGUGUUUAGAUAGAGAGGUGUCGUCAAAGACCAAGGUGUUUAGAUAGAGAGG